AGUGGCAAAUUGGGAGGAGCAGGCUAGAGGGCGCCCAAGGAGAGAAUUCUGAUCCAGAGCCCAGGACGCCCAAGGAUCCUUCUCUUGGGACUUCUUUUAAAGCUCUUUAUAGUGUGGGACUUCUGCUUCCCCUCAGUGGGAGGGGUCAGCGUGGGAUGGAAGAAGGAAGCUCUCAGAAGCUAUUAUGAAUAAUUCUGCCAUGAAUCUGGUUGUGCGAAUAUCUCUUUAAGUUUCUGCUUUCAGUUCUCCCGGGAAUAUAUCCAGCCUUGGGAACUGCUCCACCAUAAGGGAAUUCUAUUUUCAAUGGUGAUUCUAACACCAAGAGAAAUGGGUUUUGAGGCAACCCUGGCCCGCUGUGGAGGCUGAGACCAUUCCUUCUUCCCCAACGCGCCCCCUUCUGGAUAAUGUAAGAAAUGCAAGAAAUGAACCCUUGUCCGCAUUAAACACCAGCCCCUCCCCCUCCGGAACCCCCCCUUCCACCUGCUGCCACC